AAGACUAUACUUUCAGGGAUCAUUUCUAUAGUAUGUUUUUUCAUUUUAAUAAGACAGAGAAUUUGAGAGGUGACGGAGGAAGAUAGUAAGAGGAAGAGAGAGACACCUGCAACACUGCUUCACUGCUCAUGAAGCUUCUCCUAUGCAGGUGGGGCCCAGGGACUUGAACCCAGAUCCUUGCACAUGAUAACGUC
rnacentral:snoRNA from 1 species